UACGGGGGGGGCAAGCGUUGUCCGGAAUUAUUGGGCGUAAAGAGCUCGUAGGCGGUUUGUCGCGUCUGCUGUGAAAACCCGAGGCUCAACCUCGGGCCUGCAGUGGGUACGGGCAGACUAGAGUGCGGUAGGGGAGAUUGGAAUUCCUGGUGUAGCGGUGGAAUGCGCAGAUAUCAGGAGGAACACCGAUGGCGAAGGCAGAUCUCUGGGCCGUAACUGACGCUGAGGAGCGAAAGCAUGGGGAGCGAACAGG
rnacentral:rRNA from 1 species